AGGGGUUAGACAGUACAGAGACAGGUCAUUAAGGAGCAGGUAGGGGUUAGACAGUACAGAGACAGGUCAUUAAGGAGCAGGUAGGAGUUAGACAGUACAGAGACAGGUCAUUAAGGAGCAGGUAGGGGUUAGACAGUACAGAGACAGGCCAUUAAGGAGCAGGUAGGGGUUAGACAGUACAGAGACAGGUCAUUAAGGAGCAGGUAGGGGUUAGACAGUACAGAGACAGGUCAUUAAGGAGCAGGUAGGGGUUAGACAGUACAGAGACAGGUCAUUAAGGAGCAGGUAGGGGUUAGACAUCUUGCUAAGGGCUGCUGACAUCGAGGAUCGAACCAAGAAUCUUUCAGAUGAGAGUCAGACCCUCCAACCCCAUAUCAAUCUGCCCCCUUAAUAGAUAAUCAAUAAUAAAACAAUACUUAAUCGAUACGUUUAGAGAGAAAAUAAUGGAUGGAUGAUAAUGUGUUUGUUCUGAGUUCAUUAAAAGGCCUCAAAGUGUUUAUCGUCUGCUCUCUAAAAGCUUCACAUUCCUCCACUUUUCCAUUCGC
ensembl:lncRNA